GCGUCCGGUCCGGCGGACGAGCCGAGGCGGCUCUCGACGGACUACCUCUCGAGGUCGCCCGCGGACGUCUCGGCCGUUCGUCGCCGGCGCGUGCACUUAUCCCCUUGUAGGACGUCGCGAUCCGUUGGGCGUCGGUCUACGGUCGACGGUGGAGCCCGCGUGCGCCUCGGCGCGCGCGAACCCGUCGAUUUUCCGGCCGACUCACUCGACGGUAUCCCUCGAGGCGCGGAGCCGCGACUAGUUCGCAUCCGACUGUCCGCAAGCGCGACCGGUCACCCGGCCGUCGGAUCUGAUCCGGCACCGGGCCCGGACGGCUGCUGGCGGGCACGUUCUCGGAUAGACUCCGACUCACGCCUAUCGGCGACGCUAUAGCUUUGGGUAAUCUCAGGACCCGUCUUGAAACACGGACCAAGGAGUCUAGCAUGUGCGCGAGUCAUUGGGACUUGUAAACCUACUGGCGAAAUGAAAGUGAAGGCCGCCUUGCGCGCGCCUAGGGAAGAUGGGCCGCACCGCGGUGCGGCCCCGCACUCCUGGGGCGUCUCGUGCCCAUUGCGGGCUGAGGCGCACCGAGAGCGCAAAUGCUGGGACCCGAAAGAUGGUGAACUAUGCCUGGUCAGAACGAAGUCAGGGGAAACCCUGAUGGAGGUUCGUAGCGAUUCUGACGUGCAAAUCGAUCGUCGGAACUGGGUAUAGGGGCGAAAGACUAAUCGAACCAUCUAGUAGCUGGUUCCCUCCGAAGUUUCCCUCAGGAUAGCUGGCGCUCGAUGUACGAGUCUCAUUCGGUAAAGCGAAUGAUUAGAGGCAUUGGGGUCGAAACGACCUCAACCUAUUCUCAAACUUUAAAUGGGUGAGAUCUCCGGCUUGCUUAGAUGUGAAGCCGCGAGAAUCUUU
rnacentral:rRNA from 1 species